rnacentral:rRNA from 1 species
AGUAAACGCUGGCGGUAGGCCUAACACAUGCAAGUCGAACGGCAGCACAGUAAGAACUUGCUCUUACGGGUGGCGAGUGGCGGACGGGUGAGGAAUACAUCGGAAUCUACUUUUUCGUGGGGGAUAACGUAGGGAAACUUACGCUAAUACCGCAUACGACCUACGGGUGAAAGCAGGGGAUCUUCGGACCUUGCGCGAUUGAAUGAGCCGAUGUCGGAUUAGCUAGUUGGCGGGGUAAAGGCCCACCAAGGCGACGAUCCGUAGCUGGUCUGAGAGGAUGAUCAGCCACACUGGAACUGAGACACGGUCCAGACUCCUACGGGAGGCAGCAGUGGGGAAUAUUGGACAAUGGGCGCAAGCCUGAUCCAGCCAUACCGCGUGGGUGAAGAAGGCCUUCGGGUUGUAAAGCCCUUUUGUUGGGAAAGAAAAGCAGCAGGUUAAUACCCCGCUGUUCUGACGGUACCCAAAGAAUAAGCACCGGCUAACUUCGUG